GUGAAUCAAUUCAUUUUUGAACGCCUCCUGCAUCUUUGGGAUAUGCUUGAAGAUUUGUUUGAUUCAAUGU
rnacentral:rRNA from 1 species